UACGUAGGGGGCAAGCGUUGUCCGGAUUUAUUGGGCGUAAAGAGCGUGUAGGCGGCCAUACAGGUCCGUUGUGAAAACUGGAGGCUUAACCUCCAGACGUCGAUGGAAACCGUAUGGCUAGAGUCCGGAAGAGGAGAGUGGAAUUCCUGGUGUAGCGGUGAAAUGCGCAGAUAUCAGGAGGAACACCGGUGGCGAAGGCGGCUUGCUGGGCCAGUUCUGACGCUGAGGAGCGAAAGCGUGGGGAGCGAACAGG
rnacentral:rRNA from 1 species